GUGAAUCAUUGAAUUUUUGAACGCAUAUUGCACUCUCUGGUAUUCCGGAGAGUAUGCCUGUUUGAGGGUAAUUAAAAAGAAUCUUUAACCAAUUUUUUUUGGUCAAAGGAAAUGGGUUUUUCGCGUUUCUAGAGGUAGUUUGAAAUAAAGGGUAAAGUCUCCCUUUAGUCGAGACGUGUAAUCAUAUUAUUUCGCGAUAUCUUCCUUUGGUGUCUAUC
rnacentral:misc_RNA from 1 species